CUCAAACUGUACAUGGGCAUUAAGUUCAUACAUUUAACAAAUUUAUUUGGAUCAAUCUGUAUACAAACAUGCGAAUAUUUAUACACUGUAAAACGCAGACAUUUUAAAGUUAGAUCCAAAAAAGGCAAGGCAAAGUACGAACGGGACUCUUCAAAAAGUUGCCAUGAAAGGCACCUGCCGUCCAAUUAUAUUAUUAUAUGUACAAUUACAUAUAUAUACCCACAAAAUAAACACAGACAGGUUACACACAAACGCUUAAAGAUAGACUAUUAAAACACACAUUCUUGAUUUAUCUGUGAAAAAGAUAAUUUAUUAAAACACACAUUUA